CUACUGGAAGGUGACUGAAGAUGAAGGACCUAUUACCGUGCUAGUACUGUGUAUACUGUCAAAAAGAAGAAAAAAAUAUUUCGGAAAGAAAGAAUGCCCAGUGUCGAGAUGUAACGAUUCAAGCUUUAUUUCUUUUUGACCUAUAGAAUGCAACACCACUAGUUCCACGUGCUUUAUGCAUGGGUAAUGUUAUGACACAACUCAUUAUUUAACCGUUCAUUACAUGCACCAACCCGCCCAAAUUAUCACUGUACUCGAGCUUAUGGACGCAUCGCAGUGCACUGCUUUGCACUUCAUUGUAGCACAGGGGUUUGCUAUCGCCAGUAGCGAAUGCUUUGGUUGACCUCCCUGCCUUUCUUCCUUUUGAAUUCUCUCUCCCUUUGUAUAAAACGCACUAACUUGUGGGAGAGAAAGCAUUCUCCUCUUUUAGAAUUCAAUUAAUUGUCAAGCAAUUAUAUUGCAGUUCCAGUAACUAGAGCACAAAUGCGAAAACGAAACCGAUUCUCUUCGGUUCUCCGCGCUCAGAGUGCGGCACCAGGGGGCAGGGCGCGCUGCGCGUCCGUUGGAGUGGCAGACGGAGAUGCACAUGUCUAGUCAGCCGGCAUUUUUCGAGUCGUGUUGUAAAUGUUGUUAAUUCGCCGUAAAUAUCUCUUGAUUUGUACUCAAGGGUGGAGCAAGACCCCAAGGAAGAGAGAUUGACUCAUCGGGAGCGAAGAACAGAAACGAUGGAUGGUUACGCUGCUUGGGUCUCGGCACGUUCAAAUUGGCAAAGUUCCGAAUUUGUUGCUGUGUUGUGUCCGCUUGUGCGCUCGUUAUUUGCCGUCAUCGCUCGGAGAUAUUUGCGCUGGAUGUCUUUCACUUCGUGUACAAAACUCUGCUCGCUGCGGCAUCGAAGAAGUUGUCCUGUGUUUGGGUGCACGUAUGCGCUUGGACACGGAUAGCCUGCUUGCUCUCAACGGGUGUUCAACAGUCUACGCGCGCUGGUAACUUGCUCAUGAGGCAAGUUGCUGUUGUGCUGGAGCUGAGAAGAGGUCUGCUGCCUGCAAUGGGUCCAUCUCUCUCAAGUUAUUGCAGUAUUAUAGCUCUCAAGGUUCAAAAAAAGUAUGGUGGAAGCUGUUGCCAAGGUUCCGACCAGAAAAGACAGCCAGUAUAAAAGGGUCCACGCCACUGAUCUCUACUACAGGGGAUGAACAGCACAUCGAGCGCCCUCGACUGAAGCCGGCCUUGUCCCGGAAGUUGGUGCUUGACAACUUUGCGGCAGCACUUUGUUGCACGGCCUGUGGAGACAAGGUUUCUUAGACAUGGCCGUGGCCCUCAAGGAAGAUGCCGAGGCCACAGGCAGUUCCUCCAGUGACCGUGAAAAGGUCCCCUGGGGCACAAGUCUGGUUUGGCACCCCCACCUUUCUCCUGCAGCUUUUCUGUCUACUUAGCUAACCAGCAGCAAGUUUAUCCUUGCAAGUGUUUGGAGUCAAGAACAACUUUCACCAGGAAGAAGUGCAAGACGAGUGAUUGAAGAAAAUAAAGUUGCUUCUGUGAUCUAAGAACUUGAGGACUGAAAUGUU